AAGUCCGUCUGUUUGUUUGGCACUGCAUUACCCAAGACGCAUCUGUUCUUUUGUAGUUCUAAUUGUACGUAGCUGAGUAGGUUGUUUUUCAGUGCUUCUGUGUGGCUCGGUGGCAUGGAAGUGGCAUCUGCGGACAUCCACCAUCAAUCCUUCUUCGGUCUUUCGUGUAUGAAACCUGUGUGCGUUUUUUAUGAUAUAACCACACACACACACACAUACGAAAAAUCAAUAAACUUCUGAGCUGCACCGUUGGAGUCGUCCUAUUCCUUCUGACCGAGGAAGAUUCAAUUAAUGAGAGAUCUGGAUUAAGCACACACAGGCUUCUGCAAAGACUUUUGAGGAUGCACAGACACCCUCGAUGAGUGUUUGAUGGCACUCAUUGGCUUGACCAAUAUUCAGCUAAAGUCAAAGGGAGUCAACAAUGAUCUAUCUCUUAUAAGACGGAGCUCUAUAGACACAACUUUACACAGCUUGAGAAUGCCUUUUGGAGCCUUUUCUCUUUUUUUAAACAAUUGCAGAUUUCAUCAUCAGUGGGAAAACAUAAUGCAAGUCCAAGUUAUUCAGAUGUUCCACUACUUUGACAAGAUGUAAGCGUAAGACCCAAAGUGUCCCGCUCUGAAGAAAAGAAACCACUCGGGAUGUUCAGGAAUCCACCAAGACUCAACCAUGGCAGGAGCUAGAAUCUGUUAGUUUGGUCUGAGAUUAUUUUUCAGGCAAAAUUGAAGAGAUGUUUGGAAGGUUUGGCAUAAAUUAACCAGCGGUUUACAGAGGAAAUUAGGAGGCACUAAAGAGGAGAGAAACAUCAGCUACAUCAGGAUUCUGGAAAGGAACACCCAAAGAUUCCUGGAAUUGUCCCGGUAUGACGUCCAUCUAUCAUCUGUUCGCACAUGUCCAUGAUUCACUGCCAGCUUGUCUCUCAUUGGUUGAUCCAAGUCCUCAUCAGUCAGAUUCGCUUCAGGACACCGUUCAUCAGUUCCUCCCGGAAACAUCUCGAUUCAGAGCAACACUUGAUGGGAGUCGAUUUGAGGGAAACGGUGAUAACGGUGAGAUCUUGCUGUUUGAAAUGUCUCCGUGUUUUCAUUAAACGAGGCCAGAGUCUGGCAGCGGCCAGAAGUUGGUCUGCUGUGCCUUGAGGACGGAUACCAGCGGGAAGGGAAUGUCCUCUGCUGGCGUCUACUGGCAAAGGAAUUCUGGGAUUUGCAGGAGACGUAAAGACCCUAGAAAAAAAGAAGAAGAGUUAAGUAAUUAGAAAUCUGCCACAACUUUCAAAUGUAGGACCAUCAGUGGAGGCCAUGUGUCUGCGGCCGAACUCAGAUGUGGAGGAUGAAAUCCUGUCGGAAAUCAGGCUAAUUUGUUAAUGCCUUUUGCCUUUCUCCAUCUGGGAAGGAUUUUCUUUUGCCUGAUGGAUGCGGGCGGAAUAGAAGACAGAUGGGGCAACAAGCUGAAUAAAUAACAACUUGCAGAUCAUCAGCUGAAAGGAGGAAAAACUGGGACAAACUGUUUAAAUUCAACCUAUAUAUGAAGAAAACUAUGAAUGGAAAAGGAAGAAAGAAAAAAAAAAAAAAGAAACACCAUACUGCCAAAAGGUUUAAAACCGUUGAAUCCCCUUCUGUGGUGAAAACAGCACCGACUGUGUCAUGUCUAAGACAUUACAAAUUCCAUCACAAAGGCACAAUAACAUAGAUUACAAAAACUGAAAAUACUUUAAGAUACAUAACCAGCAAUAAAAGACAAAUGCAACUCAAUCAAUUGCAAUUGAAAUCAACUCAAAGGACUACAAAUCAUACAACAGGGUCAGCGGACGGAAAGUGCAGAGAGGCCGUCGACUUUCUCCGGACU